UACGUAGGGUGCGAGCGUUAAUCGGAAUUACUGGGCGUAAAGCGUGCGCAGGCGGUCAGGCAAGACCGAUGUGAAAACCCCGGGCUUAACCUGGGAACUGCAUUGGUGACUGCAUCGCUCGAGUAUGGCAGAGGGGGGUAGAAUUCCACGUGUAGCAGUGAAAUGCGUAGAGAUGUGGAGGAACACCGAUGGCGAAGGCAGCCCCCUGGGCUGAGAUUGACGCUCAGGCACGAAAGCGUGGGGAGCAAACAGG
rnacentral:rRNA from 1 species